AAUAAAUAGUAUAUUUUUUCACAUUUUUAAUUUUAAUUAAUACAAAUUUUUUUAGUAAUUUUAAAGAACUAAUUUUUUUAUUAAACUGCGUAGGGGGUAAUUUUAAUUAAAAUAAAGUAGUUAAAAAUUGUACCUUUUGUAUCAGGGUAAUUUAAAUAUUUCAAUUAUUUUAAUUUUCCCGAAUAAUGAAUGUCAAUUAUAUUAUUUUAAUAGUUGUUUCAAAAUCUUUAAUAAUUAUAUAAUUGUAAUAAAAUGUUAGUCGUUUCUUUUAUUUCUGGUUAUCAAGGAUAUAAUUUAAUUAUACAUUUAAUUGUUUUUAGUUAUUAAAAUUUUUAUGUUGAAUGUUAUAUUAUUAAGGAUAAUCUUAAUAUUUUAUUACAAUUUAAAUUUUAUUAAGUUUAUUAUCUUUAAAAUUUUGUAUUUAGUUUAUAUUAAAUUUUUUUAGUUAGUUAUAAUUUUAUUAAAUUUAUUUUUUUACUUGAUUAUUGUAUGAAACUUAUAAAUUUUUUAAUAAUGAAUUAAUUAGUAUAAACUUUAAUUAUAAUUAAAUGAAUUAGACAAAUAUAAAUUUCAACUGUUUAUCAAAAACAUUUCUUUUUGUUUUUUUAAAAGGUAAUUUCUGCCCUAUGGAAAAUUUGUCUAAAUGGCUGCAGUAUAUUGACUGUGCAAAGGUAGCAUAGUAAUUAGUUUCUUAAUUAGGAGCUUGUAUGAAUGGAUAUAUGAAAAUUUAUUUUUAUUAGUUUUAAAUUUAGAAAUUAAAUUUUAAGUUAAAAUGCUUAAUUUGUUUCUUGGGACGAUAAGACCCUAUAGAACUUUAUAUUAAAUUAAUAAUUUAUAUUUAUUUAUAUAUAUAUUGUUUUAUUUUAUAUUUUGCUGGGGUGGUAGUUAAAUUUUAACUUUAAUUUUGUAUUUCACUUUUUUGUGUAUUUUUGAUCUUAUUAAAUGAGUUAAAAGAUUAAGUUACCUUAGGGAUAACAGCGUAAUUUAAAUGGCGAGUUCAUAUUUAUAUUAUUUUUUGCGACCUCGAUGUUGAAUUAAGAUUAGUUAAAGAAGCAGUAUUCUUUAAACCUAAGUCUGUUCGACUUUUAAUUUCUUACAUGAUUUGAGUUCAAACCGGCGUGAGCCAGGUUGGUUUCUAUCUUAGAAUUAAUUUAUUUAUUUAGUACGAAAGGACCAAUAAAUAGUACUAAAUGUAUUUAUCAAAAUUAAUA
rnacentral:rRNA from 1 species